GGCUUCGUGGUUUAGUGGUAUAAUUCUCGCUUAGGGUGACACCCUACGCUCAAUCUGCGAGAGGUCCCGGGUUCGAUCCCCGGCGAAGCCC
rnacentral:tRNA from 1 species